ACGAACGCUGGCGGCGUGCUUAACACAUGCACGUCGAACGGAAAGGCCCUGCUUUCGUGGGGUGCUCGAGUGGCGAACGGGUGAGUAACACGUGAGUAACCUGCCCUUGACUUUGGGAUAACUUCAGGAAACUGGGGCUAAUACCGGAUAGGAGCUCCUGCUGCAUGGUGGGGGUUGGAAAGUUUCGGCGGUUGGGGAUGGACUCGCGGCUUAUCAGCUUGUUGGUGGGGUAGUGGCUUACCAAGGCUUUGACGGGUAGCCGGCCUGAGAGGGUGACCGGCCACAUUGGGACUGAGAUACGGCCCAGACUCCUACGGGAGGCAGCAGUGGGGAAUAUUGCACAAUGGGCGGAAGCCUGAUGCAGCAACGCCGCGUGCGGGAUGACGGCCUUCGGGUUGUAAACCGCUUUCGCCUGUGACGAAGCGUGAGUGACGGUAAUGGGUAAAGAAGCACCGGCUAACUACGUG
rnacentral:rRNA from 1 species